rnacentral:tRNA from 1 species
UGCUAUAUAGUUUAAAUAAAAACUUUAGUUUUGUAAACUUAAGAUACAGAAUUGUUUUAGCAU